UAAGAAAUAGAGGUUUUACUAGUGACAAUGCCAGACUGCAAAGUGAGAAGUUGAUAAGCAAGUUGAGGGAAUUAUACCAACACUCAUCGCCAAAGGAUAUAGAUCGCCAAAGGAUAUCAAUGAAGUGUGACUGAAAGUAGUUAAGUUAUUUUCAGGAACUAUUUAUUUGAAAUUUAAUGCAUUUUAUUUAAAUAAAUUUAACAUUAAAUGUAAGUUAAUUAAUUAAUGUUCUUUUUAUUUAAUUAUUAAAGUUGUUUUUAUCA